ACACGACUACAUUAGAUACCCCUGUAGUCCCAGCCCUAAACGAUGCGCGUUAGGUGUAUCGGUGACCACGAGUCACCGAGGUGCCGAAGGGAAACCGUGAAACGUGCCGCCUGGGAAGUACGGUCGCAAGGCUGAAACUUAAAGGAAUUGGCGGGGAGCACCACAACGGGUGGAGCCUGCGGUUUAAUUGGACUCAACGCCGGGAAGCUUACCGGAUAAGACAGCGGAAUGAUUGCCGGGCUGAAGACCCUGCAUGACCAGCUG
rnacentral:rRNA from 1 species